rfam:Ipomoea nil DNA, scaffold: scaffold3065, cultivar: Tokyo-kokei standard.
GUUAACAUGUUCGAGUAGUUAAGGAAAUAGAUUUGAAAUUUAUUUAUUAGGUUUUGCUUGCAUAGGUUCGAAUCUUGUUGUUGACG